rnacentral:lncRNA from 1 species
UGGAAAUUGAAAAAGUACUUUAAAAACCUGAGUAACCAGUGAAGUGUCUGCUGAUUUGGGGGCAGGAUGAAGAACUGAAAGCUGCCCUGGGCUCCUUUCUGGGAGAGGCAGGCAUUCCUGCCGGGUGGAACCCAGUGUGGACUUGCACACUUUUCUGUGUGUGUCUCUUUCACAAACCAACCCGAGCAAUUGUGGUCACAUUUUGACCCUCGAAUGCCAAUCAAUGAACGGAAACAGCAGUUGAAAAUAUGCACUCAGACGUCAUCCACGUGGCAGCCGGGCUUUGAGAUACGGGGACGGCCUUCCGCGCUCUGGUGCCUGCGGCCGAGAGAAGAGGACGGCUUUCCGCACGAUGCCUGCUUUGCUCUGGGCUCCUGAGACUCUCCUGGGAUGGACUCUUGCUUCUUUUCCCAACUCUACCAAGAGGGACCAUCCCAGGACGUCCUUCCCCAAGCACCCGGCCCUACGGCUGCCCGAGGUCUCCAUCACCGUCAGUGCCGCCAGUCUGCUGUGCAACCAGCUCUUGGUUUCGAGAGCCUGAAGGACUGCAGCUCAUGUCUCAUCUAAAGGAGCUGAAAUACUGCAGCUUUUUCUUUUGGUUGUGUGCAGUGAGAAUCUGGGAGCUGAACCUGUUAUCUGCGUGGUCUUCAGAUAUCAGGCAAACUCGGAAAAUGCCAACCCCAUAAAUGCUGGUGGGUGACAAAGUGUCUCAGGUGUGAUGCAUUAAAAAUCUCAGGACUUUUGCUCAUUGGAUUUGAAAGGUCAGCCUUCACAGGAAAAUGAUGAAGUCCCAAAAGACCAGAAAUAUAUUUCAGAAGACGCCAGUUACUGCUUUAAAAUGUCAAACCAACAUUUCAGAAAUAACUUUUGAUGGCGGCAGGAAUGAUUAUUUCCUGCCAAGAAGGUGAACGCUGGAGACCGUUGUGGUGAACGACGGCAUCUUUUCUUCCAUUAAGCUGACAACUUGGCUUCUGUCUUGUGAGGCCCUCAUCCUACCUGGUGGCAGAGGAUGUCUGAUGCCCUCAGUCACUGCAAUUACACUUCCCAGCCUGGCGGUCAGUCUCCUGGGGUCUGUGUGUUAACAACCAUCCACUGGGCAAUCCCAGUUUUCCUUAUACAGGCUUCCUUUAAAAAGCCUCUGGAUUUUCAGAAGAGAAGUUGCUUUCCUCCUUGAUUUAGAC